rnacentral:rRNA from 1 species
UACGAAGGGGGCUAGCGUUGUUCGGAAUCACUGGGCGUAAAGCGCACGUAGGCGGAUUGUUAAGUCGGGGGUGAAAUCCUGAGGCUCAACCUCAGAACUGCCUUCGAUACUGGCAAUCUCGAGUCCGGAAGAGGUUGGUGGAACAGCUAGUGUAGAGGUGAAAUUCGUAGAUAUCUGGAGGAACACCGGUGGCGAAGGCGGCAUCCUGGACCGGCAUUGACGCUGAGGCGCGAAAGCCAGGGGAACAAACGGG